AAAUAAUGUAUUUGGGAUUAUAGCUUAUAGAUAAGUGAAAUUAAUGACAGUGAAGUUAUAAGGGACAGAAAGGAGGAGUUGGGAAUACUCUUAAAUUAAAAGUACUUACAGUAACUGAAGUGGUGUAGUGUUGUUCUGAAAGUGGACUUGGAUUAGUCAUAAAAGUAUAUUGCAAACCGUAUGGUAACCACUAAAAAGAUUUUAAAAGGAAGUGUAAUUGGUAUGCUAAAAGUGUAGAGAUAUUAGAAUCAUAAAAGAUGUUCAAAUAAAACCAGAGAAGGCAGAAAUAGAGAAGACAAAAAAAAAAAUAGAAAACAAAGAAAAAGGGCAAUGUAUAGUAAAUAGUUAAAAUAGGGUACAUAUUAAUCCAACUAUACCAAUAACCAGUUCAGGUGUGCAUGUUCAAAAAACACCAGUUGAAAGAGACUGUUAGAGUAGAUUGGAAAACCAAAACAACUGUUUCUGCUUUACCCAGGGAGAGAUCCACACAGUGUUAUUCUGGGUUUCCUCUCAUAACUUCAAGGGAAACUUUCAACAUGUCCAGAACGUUUAGUAGCCUACAAAUGAGGGAGGAAGAUGUCCUCAGAUUCCUUGCAGCACUUGUCAUUCCUUGUCACCACUUAGGUGACACCAGCCUGGACUUCCAAAUGGAACAGGACAUCUACAGAAGGAAAAAUGAUGGCGUCCACAUUAUAAAUCUGAAAAGAACCUGGGAGAAGCUUCUGCAGGCCUCUUAUGCCAUUGUUGCCAUUGAAAACCCAGCUGAUGUCAAUGUCCUAUCAUCUGGGAAUAUUGGCCAAUUAGCUGUGCUGAAGUUUGCUGCUGCCAUUGGAGCCACUUGUGUUGCUCUCCACUCCUGGAACCUUCACCUACCAGAUCCAGGCAACCUUAUGUGAGCUGAGACUUAUGGUGGUUACUGAUCCCAGGGCUGACCACCAGCCUCCCACAGAGGUGUCCUGUGUUAACCUGCCUACCAUUGCUCUGUGUGACACUCCUCUGUGCCAAUGGACAUCGCCAUCCCUUGCACAACAAGGGAGCUCUUUCGGACUGAUGUGGUGGCUGCUGCCCAGGAAGUUUGGCACAUGGGUGGCACCAUUGCCCAUGAGCGCUCCUAGAAGGUUGUGCCUGAUCUCUACUUCUACAGAGAUCCUAAAGAGAUUGAAGAGGAAGAGCAGGCCACUGCUGAAAAGGCUGUAACUAAGAGGAAUUUCAGGGUGAUUGGAUGGCUCCAGGUCCGGAGUUCAUAGUGACUCAACCUAGAGUCACAGACUGGUCGUGGAGGCAUGCAGAGGCCCUCUCCUGCCCCUUCAGCAGUUCCCUACCCAAGACUGGAACACUUAGCUACCACUGAAAACAGGGCUACAACUUCUGCUUCUCAGGCCACUGCAUGUAUAGGAACAACCACUGAGUGGCCUUAAGCUCCUCUUCUACAAAGAGAAUGAAAA